AGAGUUUGAUCCUGGUACAGAACGAACGCUGUGCGGCGUGAAUUAUGCAUGCAUGUCGUGCGAGAAAGUGGUCGCUAGACCGCUAGUGAAUCGACGAACUGGUGAGUAACAGGUGGGUAAUGUGCCCUGAAGUGGGGGAUAACACCGGGAAACCGGUGCUAAUACCGCAUGUGAUCCUUGGGUUUGCGGACCUGGGGGUUAAAGCAGUAGUGCGCUUCAGGAUCGGCCCGCCCCCGAUUAGCUAGUUGGUGAGGUCAAAGCUCACCAAGGCACCGAUCGGUAGCUGGUCUGAGAGGAUGGUCAGCCACACCGGAACUGAGAUACGGUCCAGACUCCUACGGGGGGCAGCAGUCUAGAGGCUUCGGCAAUGGGGGCAACCCUGACCGAGCGACGCCGCGUGUGGGAUUGAAGGCCUUCGGGUCGUAAACCACUGUCAUUGGGAAAGAAUGCCCGGACGGCGAAUCCGGGAGGGACGGUACCCAAGAAGGAAGCCCCGGCUAACUCCGUGCCAGCAGCCGCGGUAAUACGGAGGGGGCAAGCGUUGUUCGGAUUUACUGGGCGUAAAGGGUGUGUAGGCGGCCGCGCAAGUCUGGUGUGAAAUCUCCGACGCUUAACGUGGAGAGGUCACUGGAAACUGCGUGGCUCGAGUAUGGUAGAGGCAAGCGGAAUUCCUGGUGUAGCGGUGGAAUGUGUAGAUAUCAGGAAGAACACCGGUGGCGAAGGCGGCUUGCUGGGCCAUCACUGACGCUGAGACACGAAAGCGUGGGGAGCAAACGGGAUUAGAUACCCCGGUAGUCCACGCUGUAAACGGUGCGCACUAGUUGUGGGA
rnacentral:rRNA from 1 species